rnacentral:rRNA from 1 species
GAUGAACGCUGGCGGCGUGCUUAACACAUGCAAGUCGAACGAUGAACCCCGCUUGCGGGGGGAUUAGUGGCGAACGGGUGAGUAACACGUGAGUAACCUGCCCUUAACUCUGGGAUAAGCCUUGGAAACGGGGUCUAAUACUGGAUAUUGACUUUUCCUCGCAUGGGGAUUGGUUGAAAGAUUUAUUGGUUUUGGAUGGACUCGCGGCCUAUCAGCUUGUUGGUGAGGUAAUGGCUCACCAAGGCGACGACGGGUAGCCGGCCUGAGAGGGUGACCGGCCACACUGGGACUGAGACACGGCCCAGACUCCUACGGGAGGCAGCAGUGGGGAAUAUUGCACAAUGGGCGCAAGCCUGAUGCAGCGACGCCGCGUGAGGGAUGACGGCCUUCGGGUUGUAAACCUCUUUCAGUGGGGAACAAGGCCAGUGUUUAGCUGGUUGAGGGUACUUGCAGAAGAAGCGCCGGCUAACUACGUGCCAGCAGCCGCGGUAAUACGUAGGGCGCAAGCGUUAUCCGGAAUUAUUGGGCGUAAAGAGCUCGUAGGCGGUUUGUCGCGUCUGCCGUGAAAGUCCGGGGCUCAACUCCGGAUCUGCGGUGGGUACGGGCAGACUAGAGUGAUGUAGGGGAGACUGGAAUUCCUGGUGUAGCGGUGAAAUGCGCAGAUAUCAGGAGGAACACCGAUGGCGAAGGCAGGUCUCUGGGCAUUAACUGACGCUGAGGAGCGAAAGCAUGGGGAGCGAACAGGAUUAGAUACCCUGGUAGUCCAUGCCGUAAACGUUGGGCACUAGGUGUGGGGGACAUUCCACGUUUUCCGCGCCGUAGCUAACGCAUUAAGUGCCCCGCCUGGGGAGUACGGCCGCAAGGCUA